GCAUAUAUAGUAAACAUUAUUAUAUUUGCCUUCCAAGCAAAAGUCCUAAUAGAAUUAGUGUAUGCU
rnacentral:tRNA from 1 species